UCUGUUUACACACCGUAAAGAGCAAAGAGGCGGACCCUUACCGAGACGCUGAGCUCAGGCUGAGUGAAAGAAAACGUGUUUUUAGCGUCCAAAACAGCAGCGUGGUUCCUGUAAUCAUCAUUUAAAUCUUUACUGGGGAAAACCGAGCGUGAGUCCUUCAUCAAAGCGCCUGAUCAGCACACUCCGACGCGAAGAAACUUUACACUGCUCCAUCCACCGCCGUUUGUUUUAUAUAGAGAAAAAUCUGCACUCGCUGAAGGCUGAGGCAGCCGUUCUAUUUUACAUGGAAGUGAUACCUGCAGCAAACAGGGCCUUGCCAGAGGAUGAAAAGAUGUGGUUUACUCCUGGAUGGCAGGUAAAGUUGAUGGUGUGGACCUAGUGGAUAACUUGUGAGUGGACUGAAGACAGGACAUACAGUUGGUUUGUGAAGCUGAUUCUGGAAUCAUGUUCAUUCUGCUGAGCCUGCUGAAUGACAUCUUCAUUUUCCCAGGUCAGCCCUACAGAAAUACAGGAACCAGAGCGGUAAGCCAUUGUGAAUUUGAAUUUGCCAAAGAGCAAUUACAGUCUAGGUUGCCUGGAAUUGAGAUGUUGUAGGUGACUGAAGAUAUGACAAAUUUGGAUGAUUCUUGAAAGCUAGUUGAACUGCUAGCAGAUCACUAUGAGUAGAAUGUGCACGAGUGUAGUUUACCUUCUGGGUCAGUAAGAAGAGUACUGUACAGUACAGCACUGUAAGAAGAUUGCCCCCACCCCAGAGUCUGAAGCAUUGACCUUUACAACAAACUAUUAAUGGGGGUGAAGGCUGGGGUGAAACUGGGACUGUGAUGGAUCCUUGUUGUAUCUCCUGAAAACCUUCUUGAAACAGAAGUGAAGGUGAUAUAGAUCCUUGAAAAACAGUCAUAGUAUUGUCAAGGUAAAACAAAAAGAAAAAACAACCACAUUCAGGAAAUUUCUGAAGACAUCAUUA